CUCCCCUCUGUUAGUUUGAAGCCAUUCCCCCUCACCCUGUUGCUAUCAGAUGGGUAAAAGUCGCUCCCCCUCCUGCUGUGCUUCCCAGUACUGAAGGCUCAGUGCGGUUUCCCCGGAGCCAAACACCCCCAGCUCCAUCAACACGUCUCCAUAGCAGAGGCGCUUCAGCGCUCUGAGCAUCUUUUGCUCCCACUCCCACGGCCCCACAUCCCUCCUGUUUUGGGGACCCAGACCUGGAUGCAGCACUGCAGUUUGGGGCCGUGCAAAGGCCUUGCACAACUGCAGGCUGACAACUUGAGUUGCCUUUCCCUUGUCCACCGAUGCCAUCACUGAAGGCCACCAGAAACCAUGCCCAGGGCAGCGGAGCCCCAUGGGCAGAGGCAGCAGUGCUCCAGUGAACAGAGAAACGCUGCUGGAUCCCCACAUGGCGAAAACAAGGAGUGAGGAGCAGGGCUGGUUGUGUGCACAGGAAGCCUUCCUCAAUUUCGGCUGCUGUUCUCUGUCUGCCUUGAAAAAUCAGUGCAUUUACUGAUUAAAAAUAAAACCUCACACGU